rnacentral:rRNA from 1 species
UACGUAGGGUGCAAGCGUUAAUCGGAAUUACUGGGCGUAAAGCGUGCGCAGGCGGUUGUGCAAGACAGAUGUGAAAUCCCCGGGCUUAACCUGGGAAUUGCAUUUGUGACUGCACGGCUAGAGUGUGUCAGAGGGGGGUAGAAUUCCACGUGUAGCAGUGAAAUGCGUAGAUAUGUGGAGGAAUACCGAUGGCGAAGGCAGCCCCCUGGGAUAAC